ensembl:lncRNA
UCUUUGAAAAUCCCCUAUUUAACCCGAAAAUCACCCAUUUUCUCUUUGAAAAUCCCCCAUUUAACCUGAAAAUCACCUGUUUUCUUUUCGAAAAUUCCCCAUUUCACCCAAAAAUCAUGCCGUUUCUCUUUGAAAAUCCCCCAUUUAACCCAAAAAUCACUCAUUUUCUCUUCGAAAAUCCGUCAUUUACGCAGAAAUCACCCAUUUUCUCUUCAAAAAUCCCCCAUUCAACCCGAAAAUCACCCAUUUUCUCUUCGAAAAUCCCACAUUUACGCAAAAAAUCACCCAUUUUCUCUUCAAAAAUCCCCCAUUCAUCCCCAAAAUCAUGCAUUUUCUCUUCAAAAAUCCCUCAUUUACGCAAAAAUCACCCAUUUUCUCUUCUGAAAUCCCCCUUUUAUCCCCCAAAUCAUGCAUUUUCUCUUCGAAAAAAACCGAUUUAAGCGAAAAUCACUCAUUUUCUCUUAAAAAAAAUCCCAUUUAACCCAAAAAUCACGCAUUUUUUCUUUGAAAAUCCCCUAUUUAACCCGAAAACCACCCGUUUUCUUUUCGAAAAUCCCCCAUUUACGCAAAAAAUCAACCGUUUUCUAUUCGAAAAUUAUCCAUUUAACUAGAAAAUCAUGCAUUUUCUCUUUGAAAAUCCGCCAUUUAACCCAAAAAUCACCCAUUUUCCCUUCGAGAAUCCCUCAUUUCCGCAAAAAUCACUUAUUUUCUCUUUGAUAAUCCCUCAUUUUAGUGAAAAUCACCCAUUUUCUCAUUGAAAAUCCCCAAUUUAAGCAAAAAUCAUUCAUUUACUCUUUGAAAAUCCUUCAUUUUAGUGAAAAUAAUCCAUUUUCUCUUUGAAAAUCCCCCAUUUAGCACAAAAAUCACCCGUUUUCUUUUCAAAAAUCCCUCAUUUAUGCAGAAAUCACCCAUUUUCUCUUCAAAAAUCCCUGAUUUAAGCCAAAAUCUUCCAUUUUCUCUUUGAAAAUCCCCCAUUUAACCCAAAAAUCACCUGUUUUCUUUUCGAAAAUUCCCAUUUCACCCAAAAAUCACCCACCUUCUCUUCAAAAAUCCCCCAUUUAUCCCCAAAAAUCAUGCAGUUUCUCUCUGAAAAUUUCCCAUUUAACACGAAAAUCAUGCAUUUUUUUUCCAAAAAAAACCCGAUUUAAGCGAAAAUCACCCAUUUUCUCAUUGAAAAUCCCCCAUUUAAGCGAAAAUCAUUCAUUUACUCUUUGAAAAUCCCUUCAUUUUAGUGAAAAUAUCCCAUUUUUUCUUUGAAAAUCCCCCAUUUAGCACAAAAAU